GGAUAUAGCUCAGUGGUAGAGUGCUUUUCUAACAUGCAUGAGGUCCCAGGUUUAAUCCCCAGUACCA
rnacentral:tRNA from 1 species